rnacentral:rRNA from 1 species
AUGAACGCUGGCGGCGUGCCUCAUACAUGCAAGUCGAGCGAACAGACGAGGAGCUUGCUCCUCUGACGUUAGCGGCGGACGGGUGAGUAACACGUGGAUAACCUACCUAUAAGACUGGGAUAACUUCGGGAAACCGGAGCUAAUACCGGAUAAUAUAUUGAACCGCAUGGUUCAAUAGUGAAAGACGGUUUUGCUGUCACUUAUAGAUGGAUCCGCGCCGCAUUAGCUAGUUGGUAAGGUAACGGCUUACCAAGGCAACGAUGCGUAGCCGACCUGAGAAGGUGAUCGGCCACACUGGAACUGAGACACGGUCCAGACUCCUACGGGAGGCAGCAGUAGGGAAUCUUCCGCAAUGGGCGAAAGCCUGACGGAGCAACGCCGCGUGAGUGAUGAAGGUCUUCGGAUCGUAAAACUCUGUUAUUAGGGAAGAACAAAUGUGUAAGUAACUAUGCACGUCUUGACGGUACCUAAUCAGAAAGCCACGGCUAACUACGUG